UAACCAAGCACGCCAUAUCAGGGCGCGCCCUGCUGAGACUGAAGGACCAUCACUUGGAGCUCCUCGGGGUGCAGGCUGAGGAACAGCAGCAGGAAAUCUUGCAGGACCUCCUCCUCCUCAGAGUUCAUGAAGAAAUCAAUGAACUCAGUCAAAUCUGCUCUGAGUGUUUUUCUCCAUAGCAGAAAAUUAAAUAUCUUCAGGAGGACUGCCGCUUACUUUUUCUUUUUCCUCCAUCCAUCCAUCCAUUCAUCCAUCCAUGUGAAGGAUGGAGAACAGUGGGAGUGUGGAAACAACAAGAGGAGAUGAAAGUGAAAGCAGAAUCAAUGAAGAAUGACGUGAGAAAGAAACCCAUUUCCUGUGUGAAAUCUAACCUGUGCAGAUGGAUGGGAUUAGUUUUUGUCUGAGUGUCUUUUUCUGAGCUCAUCGGUCCAUUUGUCUCUGUUUUCUGUGUCUUUCUAUAGUGGGUUUACCUCCAAUCAGUGGAUCAUGAAAUGGUUUGAGCUACGGCAAACCAUAUAUGGUCCAGACUGAAAUA